CGGUCAGGGGAAUGAUGUAUUAUGACAAGGCUCUUAAAAUGCUGGCCUUUCUCGAUACAGCGUCGGAGAUGGACAUCAGCG